rnacentral:lncRNA from 1 species
GCUCGCCCCGCCCCGCGAGCCCGGUGGACCUGGGGCGGCGCGGGUGCCCGCGGUCCCGGGGCCGCGCGAGGAGGGCGGGGGCGCCCGCGGCCUAAGAGCUCAGCUUGAGAAGAGGACGUGCUCAGUUUCCACGUCGUGGCAAUAAAAGUAUCGCUUACCCCGCGCCCGGAGUGGUACCAAGCACUUUCCACCAAGGGUUCACAAAUUUACCGAAUCGCGUCUCUCUGCGGCUCAGCUGGAAAAUGGGAAUAGAGAGGCGACCUCCUGGGACUGCAGCAAAUGCCAUCGGGAAGGGCGUGGGCUCCGUAAACCGAGGCGCGGAACACACGCUUGCUAAAUUUAUUCCCAUCCUCUACACGUGGGGUGACAACUUCACUCUUGCCGCCCAGACACACACACACACACACACACACACACACACACACACACUAUUCCCAAUGUGCAGAUGAAGAAAUAAGACUCGGGGACGUUCCUGGCUGAGGCAGUUUUGAAGCAUGGUUCUCAACUCAAGAUUCAUUCAUUCAAUACUUAUUAAAAGUACCUACUGUGUGUCGGGCUCUGUUCCAAGCAUUGGGGCAUUCAGUGGUGAACACGAUGGACUGUUCCAGAACAGUGGUCCUCGGUUUGACAAGGGCAAACCCAAAGGGAGAAGAGACCUGCAUUAUUAACAGACGCCUCUCAAGCACCUGGCCCCACACACAGCAUCCCGUCAAAUCCACCGCCACCCAACAACCGCCUGAGGCUGGUGCUGUUAUCAGGAAACUGGGCACAGAGAGUGUCAGUAGCUUUCCCGAGGCCACACAGCUCCUGAAUGGAGGAACUGGGAUCUGAACUCAUGCUCUCGCCCACUUGGCUGCUAGCUUGUGUAGCAGUAAAGCUCGGGUUUUAAAACAGAUAAGAUAUAUGAAAACACAUAGCCCAGCGCCUGGCACCAAGCAGACACUCAAUAAAAGAUGCGUCGUCCUUCCAGGGAGCUAACCAGAUGGUCCAGCAGAAGGAGCACCAUCUUUGCAUCUCAACGGAUGAGUUUGAAACUUCACUCCAUCAAGCAGCAGCUGUGUGCCUUUGCUCGAGUCCCCCGACCUCUCUGAGCUACAACUGCCUCCCAGGCAGGAGUUAAGUCAUGGAGAGUUUGAGACGGAGAAGGUCCUUCUGGUCAUAAUGAGGCCCGACCCGGAAAAAGGAGCACGUGGGCCAGGUCGGGACACCCUGGAGAGACUCCAGCCCCCUCUCACUCACUCGCUCGCUCAGAACCAAGUUGUUUUCAUUGGAGUCUCCUGAGCUGGACAUCAAGAGCCAAGACUGGGGAGUUCCAGUUUCUCGUUUGUUCCCACCACACCCAUCCAGCGGCUGCAGAAUGUCACUGAGACUCAGCCUGGCAGCAAAGACCACUAACUACUGGAGUCAGGAGACCUGGAGGGACCGUCCUGUGAUGGGCAUGGCUUAGACAGGGGCGCCAAAAGGACGGGAAAGAUGGCGACCGCCCUGAGUGGACAGGUGCUAGCUGUGCGGCCCUCAGGCUCUGAGGGGCAUGAGUUUGCUGGCCUUGGAGAGGAAGGGUACAAGCGUGAGGUCCACAUCUUACCUUGGCAGGACUUCUUUGGGGCAGUGCAGGCCCUGCCCGUGGGGAGAUCUGCGGCAAGGUCUUGACCGAUGGAAGUUGCGAGUAACAGAAACCCACUCAAGUUAGCUUAAGCGGAGAGGGGGCUUCUCGGUAGGAUACUGGACUAUUGUGGACCCCAUGGACAGCCAGAACCCUCAAAGAACUAGAAUUAGUCCUGAAAGGGGGUCAGGCACCCUGGCAGUACUUUCUGUGUAUUUCGCACCUCUCCGUAUCCUUCUCCCUCUGCAGCCGGGCCUCGCCCAUUCCCUGUGGACAUGACCACCCCGCCAGCACCGGGGUUCACAUCUCCCUUGUUCCGGGGACCAGCUCAGGCCGUGCCCAGCCACCUCCCAGUUCUAACUCCAUAGAGAGAGAAUCUAAUUGGCCCUGUUGGGAACAGAUGUCACCCCUGGUCCAAUCAAGGGAGACCAAGGGGACAUCGCCAGGUACCAUGAACAUGACAGCAAGGCCCUGUGAGCUGGGUGGGCACCCCCCAAGGCCAGAUGGAUGGAAAUGAGCCACAACAAAGACUCUGUGGAGGCAGCCAGAAAAAGGCUCAGAAUCUAGUGAGACAAGAGCUUGGGGUAAAAACUCCAUCCAUUGGACUAAAGCAGACAGUCAGCGUUCCACUUAAGCCCAUCAAACUCCCAACCAUUUCUGUGCACGCCAACCUGACUUGCCCCAGCCGCACCUGCGCCUGCUGGAGGGCUGCCCCUGGGCUGCACGUAGCCCGUGAGCAUGGUGGCCCCCAAGUGCCUGGGAUUUAGUGCCCCGGGGACAUCAGCUGACAAUGGCUGACAGGGCUGGGGGUGCAAAUACCCCGGAUCCCGUGCUCUCAGCUGGGAAGAUUCCGAGAUGGGUGUCUGCCGGAAGGAUUCCCUACUCGGCCACGCGGUCGCUGGCUGAAUGAUGCACAUUCCCUGUAUCGCUAAUGCAUCUCUUUCCUCUAUUCCUCGCCCCUUUCAGAUACACCGCCCUCAAAUCCUCAGCUGGGCGUCUGCUUCUGGGAACCCAAACGAGGACAAGGACCCUGAAGUUUGGGGACAGGGACCCAGGAGUCACAUUAUUCUCUUAGGACACCUGUGCAUUCGUUCAUCCAGCCCCUGAAUAUUGACUGAGUAUCUACUCCGUGCCAGGGGGUGUGCUGACAAAUAUAGGAGAGAAAUAGGAAAAACCCGACAGUCUGAACAGCCAUAUAAAGAGAGAAGGGCUUUUUACAAGGAGAGUCUGGGAAGCCAAAGGCUGACUGUGGUAUUAUUUCACUGUAUAAAAACUAUGACUCACGGAGGAAAAGGGAACACGGAAUCCCAGAAUACGAUGGGCACCCCCUUUAAAAUCUGAGAGAGGUAGUUUAGGGCAAAUUAAAGGAAUUCUUCAUCCAACAGUGAAUAGCAAAUUUAUUCACCUCCAGUUACCCCACAAGAAGUAAUACAAGCAGAAAAUGUAAAUAGAUUUUUAAAAAUAAAUGAAUGCUGGAG